rnacentral:rRNA from 1 species
CCAGACUCCUACGGGAGGCAGCAGUGGGGAAUUUUGGACAAUGGGCGCAAGCCUGAUCCAGCAAUGCCGCGUGAGUGAAGAAGGCCUUCGGGUUGUAAAGCUCUUUUGUCAGGGAAGAAACGGCCUGUUCUAAUACAGUGGGCUAAUGACGGUACCUGAAGAAUAAGCACCGGCUAACUACGUGCCAGCAGCCGCGGUAAUACGUAGGGUGCAAGCGUUAAUCGGAAUUACUGGGCGUAAAGCGUGCGCAGGCGGUUUUGUAAGUC